CAGCCGGACUCACUCAGGAGGCCCUUCAUCUUCAUGUUCCCCACAUAGCAGAGGGGAGGGCAGAAGAUGAGAAGGGAGGAGAGAGCAGAGCCAAGAGCCUCCUUUUCUCCCCCUGUGCCCCUCCUAUGUGUGGCUCUGGACACCAGGAACCACCCAACGACAGUGGGACUCCUCGAAAAGAUAAUUGCUCAUGAGGGAUCCAAGAGCAAGACUUGUUACAUCCUAUAACCUUCACACAAACUGCCACUUAUUGAACAGGUCCAAGUGCCAGGCAGAGACUACCGUGAAUCUCCACAGCAGUGUUCCAAGAUAUUGACUGAGAAUCCUCCAUGUGCCAAGUACUGUUCAAAGACACUGGGAACCCAGCAGAGAUGAGCCACAAGUUUCCUUGUCUUUACAAAGCUUUCAUUCUGAGGGAGUGGAGAGAGACAAGCAAUAAACAACCAAUCAAAACAAAGUUGACCCCUCUGAGUGUUGUGAUAUGCGGGUCAAGGAGGAUGGCUCUCAGGAUGUGACCUCAGAGCAGAAGCCUGGAGGCUUGCCAGCAGCGGGAAGAGCAGGGGCAGGGCGCUGCAGGCAGAGGUGACCAAAAGCGUGAAACCUUGAGCUGGGAAGCACGUGGUCUGUUGGAAAGUGGGCUGAUGUAUUUGAAGACAGCAAGGAGCAGAAUGGUACAAUGGGGUG